CAGCCGCCGCGGUAAUACGUAGGGUGCAAGCGUUAAUCGGAUUUACUGGGCGUAAAGCGCACGUAGGCGGAUUCUUAAGUCAGAGGUGAAAUCCCAAGGCUCAACCUUGGAACUGCCUUUGAUACUGGGGAUCUUGAGUUCGGGAGAGGUGAGUGGAACUGCGAGUGUAGAGGUGAAAUUCGUAGAUAUUCGCAAGAACACCAGUGGCGAAGGCGGCUCACUGGCCCGAUACUGACGCUGAGGCACGAAAGCGUGGGGAGCAAACAGGAUUAGAUACCCCUGUAGUCCCUGUCUCUUAUAC
rnacentral:rRNA from 1 species